GACGAACGCUGGCGGCGUGCUUAACACAUGCAAGUCGAACGGUGAAGCUCCAGCUUGCUGGAGUGGAUCAGUGGCGAACGGGUUAGUAACACGUGAGCAACCUGCCCCUGACUCUGGAAUAAGCGCUGGAAACGGCGUCUAAUACUGGAUACGAGAAGGGUCCGCAUGGGCACUUUCUGGAAAGUUUUUCGGUUGGGGAUGGGCUCGCGGCCUAUCAGCUUGUUGGUGAGGUAAUGGCUCACCAAGGCGACGACGGGUAGCCGGCCUGAGAGGGCGACCGGCCACACUGGGACUGAGACACGGCCCAGACUCCUACGGGAGGCAGCAGUGGGGAAUAUUGCACAAUGGGCGAAAGCCUGAUGCAGCGACGCCGCGUGAGGGAUGACGGCCUUCGGGUUGUAAACCUCUUUCAGCAGGGAAGAAGCGAAAGUGACGGUACCUGCAGAAGAAGCACCGGCUAACUACGUG
rnacentral:rRNA from 1 species